rnacentral:rRNA from 1 species
GAUGAACGCUAGCGGGAGGCUUAAUACAUGCAAGUCGUGGGGCAGCGCAGUGUAGCAAUACAUGGGCGGCGACCGGCAAACGGGUGCGUAACACGUACGCAACCUUCCCGUUACUGGGGAAUAGCCCAGGGAAACUUGGAUUAAUACCCCAUAUUAUGUUGAUUGGGCAUCUAAUUAAUAUCAAAGCUUCGGCGGUAACGGAUGGGCGUGCGGUUGAUUAGGUAGUUGGCGGGGUAACGGCCCACCAAGCCUACGAUCAAUAGCUGAUGUGAGAGCAUGAUCAGCCACACGGGCACUGAGACACGGGCCCGACUCCUACGCGAGGCAGCAGUAAGGAAUAUUGGGCAAUGGACGAAAGUCUGACCCAGCCAUGCCGCGUGGAGGAUGAAGGUCCUCUGGAUUGUAAACUUCUUUUUUCUGGGGCGAAAACCGGUUUUUCUAAACCAUUUGACAGUACCAGAAGAAUAAGCACCGGCUAACUCCGUGCCAGCAGCCGCGGUAACAC